rnacentral:rRNA from 1 species
CACGUAGGCGGAUCUUUAAGUCAGGGGUGAAAUCCCGGAGCUCAACUCCGGAACUGCCUUUGAUACUGAGGGUCUCGAGUCCGGGAGAGGUGAGUGGAACUGCGAGUGUAGAGGUGAAAUUCAUAGAUAUUCGCAAGAACACCAGUGGCGAAGGCGGCUCACUGGCCCGGUACUGACGCUGAGGUGCGAAAGCGUGGGAGCAAACA